rnacentral:misc_RNA from 1 species
AAGUCGUAACAAGGUUUCCGUAGGUGAACCUGCGGAAGGAUCAUUAUCGGGAGAGGGGCUUCCGCGCUCCCCGGGGGUUUCGGCCCCCCAACUCUUCACCCCAUUGUCAACUUACCCCUUGUUGCUUUGGCGGAUUCCGGGGUAUGCCUUGCGUAGGUUUGUCAUAAACCCGUGCGAGAUGUGCCCCGGCGCCCCGCCGGAGGCCCCAUUAAAAAUCUGUUUAUCAGUGAAUGUCCGAGUAAAAAAACCAAUAAUAAAAAA